UAACUAUAACGGUCCUAAGGUAGCGAAAUUCCUUGUCGGGUAAGUUCCGACCCGCACGAAAGGCGUAACGAUCUGGGCACUGUCUCAACGAGGGACUCGGUGAAAUUUAAAUACCCGUGAAGAUGCGGGUUACCCGCGACAGGACGGAAAGACCCCAUGGAGCUUUACUGUAGCUUGAUAUUGAAUGUUUGUGCUGCUUGUACAGCAUAGGUAGGAGACGUAGAAGUUUGGACGCCAGUCUAGACGGAGUCGCACGGUGGGAUACUACCCUCGUUGUAUGAACAUUCUAACACUGGUCGCUUAUCGCGAUCGUGGACAGUGUCUGGCGGGCAGUUUGACUGGGGCGGUCGCCUCCUAAAAGGUAACGGAGGCGCUCAAAGGUUUGCUCAGAAUGGUUGGAAAUCAUUCGUAGCGUGUAAAGGCAUAAGCAAGCUUGACUGCGAGAGCUACAACUCGAGCAGGUACGAAAGUAGGACUUAGUGAUCCGGUGGUUCCGCAUGGAAGGGCCAUCGCUCAACGGAUAAAAGCUACCCUGGGGAUAACAGGCUCAUCUCCCCCAAGAGUCCACAUCGACGGGGAGGUUUGGCACCUCGAUGUCGGCUCAUCGCAUCCUGGGGCUGUAGUCGGUCCCAAGGGUUGGGCUGUUCGCCCAUUAAAGCGGUACGCGAGCUGGGUUCAGAACGUCGUGAGACAGUUCGGUCCCUAUCCGUCGCGGGCGCAGGAAAUUUGAGAGGAGUUGCCCUUAGUACGAGAGGACCGGGGUGAACAAACCGCUGGUGUACCAGUUGUUCCGCCAGGAGCAUUGCUGGGUAGCUAUGUUUGGAUGAGAUAAACGCUGAAAGCAUCUAAGUGUGAAACUCGCCUCGAGAUGAGAUUUCCCAUUCUUAAUGAAGUAAGACCCCUUAGAGAUGAUGAGGUAGAUAGGCUAGAAGUGGAAGUGCUGUGAGGCAUGUAGCGGACUAGUACUAAUCGGUCGAGGACUUAACCAAA
rnacentral:rRNA from 1 species